rnacentral:rRNA from 1 species
GACGAACGCUGGCGGCGUGCUUAACACAUGCAAGUCGAACGUGAUUUUUGUGGAAAUUCUUUCGGGAAUGGAAAUGAAAUGAAAGUGGCGAACGGGUGAGUAACACGUGAGCAACCUACCUUACACAGGGGGAUAGCCGUUGGAAACGACGAUUAAUACCGCAUGAGACCACAGAAUCGCAUGAUAUAGGGGUCAAAGAUUUAUCGGUGUAAGAAGGGCUCGCGUCUGAUUAGCUAGUUGGAAGGGUAAAGGCCUACCAAGGCGACGAUCAGUAGCCGGUCUGAGAGGAUGAGCGGCCACAUUGGAACUGAGACACGGUCCAAACUCCUACGGGAGGCAGCAGUGGGGAAUAUUGCAAAAUGGGGGGAACCCUGAUGCAGCGACGCCGCGUGAGCGAAGAAGGUUUUCGAAUCGUAAAGCUCUGUCCUAUGAGAAGAUAAUGACGGUAUCAUAGGAGGAAGCCCCGGCUAAAUACGUG